GCAACCUUUUUCCAACAACUCCUUGCAGUUUCACUCAACCACUUUUUUAAUUAUAAAAGUAAUUUAUAGAAAUGUGAAAACCUGGUGCUCUCAUUGUUUAAAAUAAGUGAAGUAAAAUUCACUGUAAAUAAUGCUGAACAUCCAGUUGUAAUGUUGGGACAGCAUAUCCAUCGCAGUUUUUUGCUACUCUUUUAUUUAUUUAUUUCUAAAAUAAAAAGCGGAGUUCAUACCAUAGAAAGAUGUAGUGUAACCUCAUAGACACCAACUGCUGCGGUAUUCAGAAACAGAUUCAAUUGGCUCUGAAAAGUGUGAAUCUGCACAUUUAUAACUAUUUCACUAUAUUCACUUGUUAACCAGUAUACACUAUGUUCUGU